rnacentral:lncRNA from 1 species
UCGAGCAUCAUGAAGAACCAACUAUCAUGAAUUUCAGAUUCAGAUAUCUGCUAUCAGUGCUCAGGUAUGAAGUUUUGAACUCAAUUCAUAUUUAGAUAUGAUCUAAAUAUAAUUUAGAUAUAAUCUAAUUACAUAUAGAUAUGAUUUAUACUUACUGAAUUUUAGAUUUUAAAUUUACAUACAUACAUAUUAAUUCAUAUCAUGG